AGAGUUUGAUCCUGGCUCAGGACGAACGCUGGCGGCGUGCUUAACACAUGCAAGUCGAGCGAUGAAGUUCCUUCGAGAGCGGCGGACGGGUGAGUAACACGUGGGUAACCUGCCUCAUAGAGGGGAAUAGCCUUCCGAAAGGAAGAUUAAUACCGCAUAAGAUUGUAGUACCGCAUGGUAUAGCAAUUAAAGGAGCAAUCCGCUAUGAGAUGGACCCGCGUCGCAUUAGCUAGUUGGUGAGGUAACGGCUCACCAAGGCGACGAUGCGUAGCCGACCUGAGAGGGUGAUCGGCCACAUUGGGACUGAGACACGGCCCAGACUCCUACGGGAGGCAGCAGUGGGGAAUAUUGCACAAUGGGGGAAACCCUGAUGCAGCAACGCCGCGUGAGUGAUGACGGUCUUCGGAUUGUAAAGCUCUGUCUUCAGGGACGAUAAUGACGGUACCUGAGGAGGAAGCCACGGCUAACUACGUGCCAGCAGCCGCGGUAAUACGUAGGUGGCAAGCGUUGUCCGGAUUUACUGGGCGUAAAGGGAGCGUAGGUGGAUAUUUAAGUGGGAUGUGAAAUACUCGGGCUUAACCUGGGUGCUGCAUUCCAAACUGAAUAUCUAGAGUGCAGGAGAGGAAAGUAGAAUUCCUAGUGUAGCGGUGAAAUGCGUAGAGAUUAGGAAGAAUACCAGUGGCGAAAGCGACUUUCUGGACUGUAACUGACACUGAGCUCGAAAGCGUGGGGAGCAAACAGGAUUAGAU
rnacentral:rRNA from 1 species